CCUACGGGUGGCAGCAGUGAGGAAUAUUGGUCAAUGGACGAGAGUCUGAACCAGCCAAGUAGCGUGAAGGAUGACUGCCCUAUGGGUUGUAAACUUCUUUUAUAAAGGAAUAAAACGAGGCACGUGUGCCUUUUUGCAUGUACUUUAUGAAUAAGGAUCGGCUAACUCCGUGCCAGCAGCCGCGGUAAUACGGAGGAUCCGAGCGUUAUCCGGAUUUAUUGGGUUUAAAGGGAGCGUAGAUGGGUUGUUAAGUUAGUUGUGAAAGUUUGGGGCUUAACCGUAAAAUUGCAAUUGAUACUGGCAGUCGUGAGUACAGUUGAGGUAGGCGGAAUGCGUGGUGUAGCGGUGAAAUGCUUAGAUAUCAUGAAGAACCCCGAUUGCGAAGGCAGCUUACUAAACUGUGACUGACAUUGAUGCUCGAAAGUGUGGGUAUCAAACAGGAUUAGAUACCCUGGUAGUC
rnacentral:rRNA from 1 species